rnacentral:tRNA from 1 species
GUCCCCGUGGCCUAAUGGAUAAGGUAAAGGAUUCCGGUUCCUUUGAUGCGGGUUCGAUUCCUGCCGGGGACGCCA